AGGACUGUUCCUUUAUACAGAACAGAGAACAAGCCGGAGAGGUUGGAGUAUGUUGUACAAAGUUUUUCUCCCUUCACAUUAUUUCUCAUUUUAGUCAGGAAGAUAUGGAGAUGGCUAUGAUCUCUUCCUUGGCUACUUAUCCUGUGAAAUAUUUUCAUGCAUGGCAAGCAAAAGCAAGGAAGACCACAGUUUCAGCAUCAAAAUCUAGGAGUGUGCCCAUCAAAGCAGUUUUCAAUAGUUGUCGAACGUGCCGAGGAAAAGGUGCAGUUGAGUGCCCUGGGUGCAAGGGGACAGGAAAGAACAAGAAGAACGGCAAUAUUUUUGAAAGAUGGAAGUGUUUUGAGUGCCAAGGAUUUGGCAUGAAGAGCUGCCCCAAUUGUGGCAAGGGAGGACUUACGCCGGAGCAAAGAGGGGAAAGAUAGAGCCCACAAGUUCCAGAUAAUUUGUUGGGUUUGCAUGCGCAAGUUUGUAUAUAUAGUUUCUUCCCGUAUGAAGCUCAAUCUUUCUAGGAGCUCCUUUUUUUUUUCCUCAAAUCUUCCAUAUAAAUUUCUUUUAUCAUUAUAUUGUAUAGAGAUUCACCUUACUAGGCAAAAAGUGGCACCUUUCUUCUGCCUCCUACCAGGUUUUCCUUUGCUUGACAACUAGUGCAGAGGGGCUGAGAGGUUAAUCCAUGCAAAUAACAGAUAUGGUUAUUUUAAUAAGGUUUGAUCGUA